ACCGGUGGCCGGGCGGGAUGUAACCCGCUGCUGAGCUGGCAGCUCUGUGUCGCUAGGCUUCGGCCCGGCCGCCGCCGCACAUAAGCUGCGAGGAGGAGCUUUACGACUUCCCGGUCUUCGGGGCCGGGCGCAGCAAGGGCCAGACUCUGCGCUAGCAGGCGCUGCGCGCCAACCGGCCGGCACCUGUCGCAGAAGGUGCAACCGAUCGCACUGUCGCGCCGAAGCUCCUCAAUGGCCAGCGCCAGCUGCAGCCCCGGCCGCCCACUCGCCUCACCUGAGCCUGGGAGCUUGAAAAAUCACAUUUGAGAAGAGGAUUGGAUCCUAGCCAUAACAUAAAUAUAAGGGUGGAACCAAAGUUUUAAUCAAAGAAGGUGGUGUUCAGUUGCUGCUUACAAUAGUUGAUACCCCAGGAUUUGGAGAUGCAGUGGAUAACAGUAAUUGCUGGCAGCCUGUUAUCAAUUACAUUGAUAUUAAAUUUGAGGACUACCUAAAUGCAGAAUCGCGAGUGAACAGAUGUCAGAUGCCUGGUAACAGGGUGCAGUGUUGUUUAUACUUCAUUGCUCCUUCAGGACAUGGGAAGGGUAGAUGUCUACCCAAAUGGAAUAUUGAGUAUCAGAGACUUCAAAUGAUAACUUUUGUUUGUUUGGAGAAAAUCUUGAGGACGUGAUCACUGUACAAAAGCAUGGCAAAAUGAGGAAACCACUGACAGGUGAAGAAUUUGCACAAUGGAAAACCACCUUGACCAUCUCAUGACUUUAUACAGGAAUCGGAGACAUCCAAGGCCAUUCCAUUUCUAAAUCACACUUAUCCCUCAAUCAAGUCAGUGACUGGAUCAUCUCCUAAGGUUUCACCUGCUUUGCAUCAGGGCAGGGUUCCACUCCCAUUGCCCAGGCUGGAGUGCAGUGGCGUGAUCUUGGCUCACUGCAACCCCCUCCUCCCCUAUUCAAGCAAUUCUUCUGCCUCAGUCUUCUAAGUGGCUGGGACUACAAGCGCGUGCCACCACACCCGCGCUUAUAAUAGAAAAUAAUUUUUCUGUUUUUUUGUAGGGAUGGGGUUUCACCAUGUUGGCCAGGCUGGCCUCGAACUCCUGAGCUCAAGUGAUCAACCUGCCUCUGCCUCCCAAAGUGCUGGGAUUACAGGUGUAAGCCACCAUGCCCGGCCUCUGAUUUUUCUAUAGUGAGAACAUAACUAUUUCUGUAAUAAUAUUAAAAAUACUUGUCAGUAUCACAUAGAAUUUUCAACAGCAGAUUCAAAUAAAAUGAAUCCUUGUGUGUGUGUA
rnacentral:lncRNA from 1 species